rnacentral:piRNA from 1 species
UAAUUACUGUGUAAUAUUUGGAUAAGGC